UUUUUUUUAAACGGUUUUAUUUAGCUCACCCCGUUUGUUUUAUUAUUUUUUCUUUAUUUAUUCUUGGGUCAAAUUUAGUAAUUCAAAUUUCACCCUCUUCCUGUCAACCGAUUAAUCUGAAAUUUUGUAUACACUUUGGAUUUUGGUGACAAUACAAUUAUGUUUAUUCAUUAUCAUUAUAAAUUCAAGAUGGCCGCCGCUACAAAAUGGCGGAUAAUUUAUGUUUUAUUAAUCCCAUCAAUAUGGGUAUCAAAUGAAAGGGCUCAACAAGCAGAAUACAAUAUACUAUAAAAAAUUGAAAUCCAAGAUGGCGGCCGCUACAAAAUGGCGGAUAACGUAGGUUUUAUCGAUCCCAUCAAUAUGGGUAUCAAAUGAAAGUGCUCAACCAGUAUAAUCAAUGUACUAUAUAAAAUUAAAAUCCAAGAUGGCGGCCUCUACAAAAUGGCGGAUAACUUAGGUUUUAUCAAUCCCAUCAACAUGGG
rnacentral:misc_RNA from 1 species